rnacentral:rRNA from 1 species
AGUGAACGCUGGCGGUAGGCCUAAUACAUGCAAGUCGAACGGCAGCACAGUAAGAGCUUGCUCUUACGGGUGGCGAGUGGCGGACGGGUGAGGAAUACAUCGGAAUCUACUUUUUCGUGGGGGAUAACGUAGGGAAACUUACGCUAAUACCGCAUACGACCUACGGGUGAAAGCAGGGGAUCUUCGGACCUUGCGCGAUUGAAUGAGCCGAUGUCGGAUUAGCUAGUUGGCGGGGUAAAGGCCCACCAAGGCGACGAUCCGUAGCUGGUCUGAGAGGAUGAUCAGCCACACUGGAACUGAGACACGGUCCAGACUCCUACGGGAGGCAGCAGUGGGGAAUAUUGGACAAAGGGCGCAAGCCUGAUCCAGCCAUACCGCGUGGGUGAAGAAGGCCUUCGGGUUGUAAAGCCCUUUUGUUGGGAAAGAAGAGCAGCAGGUUAAUACCCCGCUGUUCUGACGGUACCCAAAGAAUAAGCACCGGCUAACUUCGUG